rnacentral:misc_RNA from 1 species
AUAAAUUAUAUAAAUAUAAAAUUAGAAUAUAAAAAAUUUUAAAUCAUCUAAAACUACCGAUUUAAUGUUUAAAAAUACGUAAUAAAGUCAUGAUUAAGAAACUACCACUUUACAAUUCAAAACUAUCAGGAACAAUCUUCAUAAACAAUUAACAUUACCGUAUCAUAUGUUAUGAAACCAUGGGAAAUCAUCAUUCAAACAAGGGAUUAGAGAACCCCUUUUAAAGUUGACGCCUCAGCCGAUCUAGGGAGCUCCAGCACGAACGAAAGAGGAACCAUCUCAAUCCUCAACAUGGCAGAGCUCUUAGGCACUUUUAGCCGUGAAGGGACCAGGCUUGAAGAAAGCACUAUAAUGCCCCCGGAGAUAACCAUACCCAUACACCCAAACCCCCUUGGGCAGAGCUAAAUCAACUCAUAACAAUUCAAACACAGAGAACCCAAGAUAAGCACUGCUGUGCACCCAGAAAUCCAUUGCAGAUUGCACGAGUUCCUUUUCUGUGAGCCACAUAACUUGCAAGCAACAAAAUGCAAACCAAAACAUUUAUGUACAGCCCCACCCGAAGGCGGGGAAGGAAAAUCCAUAACCGGGCAAGGCAGGGAUGGCCACAAAACGGGCAUAGUAGGAGACUCUUUGUCUUAGAUCCGAAAACCAACACGAAGAGAACUUUCUCUCCAUAGAGAAUCCUAGAUGGUUUAUUAGAAAAGGAAGAAAUUUUCUACAAUGAGAUGGUGGCUUGUG